AGCGACUGUUCUCCCAGAACAUUUCUUUGCCUUGAGUGCAUCAGGAAAGCUCACUUGUUUCAGUAUUUUCACAUGAUGUAUAUUUGGAGGAUUAACGCAUGGGUACCCUUCUCUCCUGAUGAUGUGAUUAUAGAUUCCUUCGUACAUCCGCAUUGCAGUCACACCUACUUCCGAGAUAUAAUAGUUGUUGAUGCCAAAGGCAGACAUCAUAAAGCCAAAUGUCAAUUCUGUCCCUGUGAGGAAGAGGCAACAACCCUGAUAAGGCACCACUUUUGGCCGUCAUCACCUAAGAAACCAAAGAUGUGCUUCGACUUCCAUAUCAUGGAAAUGCUGCGGGUGUUG